GAUGAACGCUGGCGGCGUGCUUAACACAUGCAAGUCGAGCGGGCAAUUUAUCUAGCACUGAUUACUUCAAAUGGAAAUCAUAAGUGUAAUCAUGAAUUUCUACCUUUAAUAAAGAAAAAAAUUCAUGUACGCAAAUAGUGAUAACACAUUUUAGUGGAGUGAUGAGUGCUGGAUAAAUUGCUAGCGGCGGACGGGUGCGUAACACGUGGGUAACCUGCCCCUAUCACUGGGAUAACACACUGAAAAGUGUGCUAAUACCAGAUAAUAUAAGCUUUUGGCAUCAUUAGCUUAUCAAAGAAUUUCGGAUAGGGAUGGGCCCGCGUCUGAUUAGCUUGUUGGUGAGGUAACGGCUCACCAAGGCAACGAUCAGUAGCCGACCUCGAGAGGGUGAUCGGCCACACUGGAACUGAGACACGGUCCAGACUCCU
rnacentral:rRNA from 1 species